AUGAACGCUGGCGGCGUGCCUAACACAUGCAAGUCGAACGGAGAUAAGACGCUGACGAGACUUCGGUCAAAUCUGUUUAUCUUAGUGGCGGACGGGUGAGUAACGCGUGGGCAACCUGCCUCAUACUGGGGGAUAGCAGUUGGAAACGACUGAUAAUACCGCAUAAGCGCACGGAGUCGCAUGACUCAGUGUGAAAAACUCCGGUGGUAUGAGAUGGGCCCGCGUCAGAUUAGCCAGUUGGCAGGGUAACGGCCUACCAAAGCGACGAUCUGUAGCCGGCCUGAGAGGGCGGACGGCCACAUUGGGACUGAGACACGGCCCAAACUCCUACGGGAGGCAGCAGUGGGGGAUAUUGCACAAUGGAGGAAACUCUGAUGCAGCGACGCCGCGUGAAGUGAAGAAGUAUUUCGGUAUGUAAAGCUCUAUCAGCAGGGAAGAAAGGCUCCGCAAGGAGAGAUGACGGUACCUGACUAAGAAGCCCCGGCUAACUACGUGCCAGCCGCGGC
rnacentral:rRNA from 1 species